rnacentral:rRNA from 1 species
AGAGUUUGAUCAUGGCUCAGAACGUACGCUGGCGGCACGCCUAACACAUGCAAGUCGAACGAAGUAGCAAUACUUAGUGGCAGACGGGUGAGUAACAUGUAGGUAUCUGCCCUUUGGCCUGGAAUAACACGAGGAAACUUGUGCUAAUACCGGAUAAGUCUUUACGGAGAAAGCUUUAUGCACCAUUGGAUGAGCCUGCACUUGAUUAGUUUGUUGGUGGGGUAACGGCCUACCAAGACUGUGAUCAAUAGCUGAUUUGAGAGGAUGAUCAGCCACAUUGGGACUGAGACACGGCCCAAACUCCUACGGGAGGCAGCAGUGGGGAAUCUUGCACAAUGGAGGAAACUCUGAUGCAGCGAUGCCGCGUGAGUGAAGAAGGCCCUUGGGUUGUAAAGCUCUUUCGUCGGGGAAGAAAAUGACUGUACCCGAAUAAGAAGGUCCGGCUAACUUCGUGCCAGCAGCCGCGGUAAUACGAAGGGACCUAGCGUAGUUCGGAAUUACUGGGCUUAAAGAGUUCGUAGGUGGUUGAAAAAGUUAGUGGUGAAAUCCCAGAGCUUAACUCUGGAACUGCCAUUAAAACUUUUCAGCUAGAGUAUGAUAGAGGAAAGCAGAAUUUCUAGUGUAGAGGUGAAAUUCGUAGAUAUUAGAAAGAAUACCGAUUGCGAAGGCAGCUUUCUGGAUCAUUACUGACACUGAGGAACGAAAGCAUGGGUAGCGAAGAGGAUUAGAUACCCUCGUAGUCCAUGCCGUAAACGAUGUGUGUUAGACGUUGGAAAUUUAUUUUCAGUGUCGCAGGGAAACCGAUAAACACACCGCCUGGGGAGUACGACCGCAAGGUUAAAACUCAAAUGAAUUGACGGGGACCCGCACAAGUAGUGGAGCAUGUGGUUUAAUUCGAAGAUACGCGCAGAACCUUACCAACACUUGACAUGUUCGUCGCGACUCUAAGAGAUUAGAGUUUUCGGUUCGGCCGGACGAAACACAGGUGCUGCAUGGCUGUCGUCAGCUCGUGUCGUGAGAUGUUGGGUUAAGUCCCGCAACGAGCGCAACCCUCACUUUUAGUUGCCAUCAUUAAGUUGGGCACUCUGAAAGAACUGCCAGUGAUAAGCUGGAGGAAGGUGGGGAUGACGUCAAGUCCUCAUGGCCCUUACGUGUUGGGCUACACACGUGCUACAAUGGUAUCUACAACAGGAAGCAAGACUGCGAAGUUAAGCAAAUCCCUAAAAGAUACCUCAGUUCGGAUUGCACUCUGCAACUCGAGUGCAUGAAGCUGGAAUUACUAGUAAUCGUGGAUCAGCGUGCCACGGUGAAUGCGUUCCCGGGUCUUGUACACACCGCCCGUCACACCAUGGGAGUUGGUUCUACCUUAAGGCAAGGUUUCAAACCCUUGACCACGGUAUAGUCAGCGACUGGGGUGAAGUCGUAACAAGGUAACCGUA